CCUGGUGGCUCAGAGGUUAAAGCAUCUGCCUAGAAUGCAGGAGACCAGGGUUCGAUCCCUGGGUCAGGA
rnacentral:tRNA from 1 species